rnacentral:rRNA from 1 species
AGAUACGGAGGUAGAGCACUGAAUGUCCUAGGGGGUAUUGCACCUACCGAAGACUAUCAAACUCCGAAUGCCGUCAUCUUAUACUUGGGAGUCAGACUGUGGGUGAUAAGAUUCAUAGUCGAAAGGGCAACAGCCCAGAUCGUCAGCUAAGGUCCCUAAAUGUAAGUUAAGUGGUAAAGGAUGUGGGAUUGCACAGACAACCAGGAUGUUGGCUUAGAAGCAGCCACUCAUUCAAAGAGUGCGUAAUAGCUCACUGGUCGAGUGAUCCUGCGCCGAAGAUUUCCGGGGCUAAAACUUAC